rnacentral:rRNA from 1 species
UGAGUAACCUGCCCUUCACUCUGGGAUAACUCCGGGAAACCGGGCUAAUACUGGAUAUGACUCGAACAGGCAUCUGUUUCGGGUGGAAAGAUUUAUUGGGUGGAGGAUGGACUCGCGGCCUAUCAGCUUGUUGGUGAGGUAAUGGCUCACCAAGGCGACGACGGGUAGCCGGCCUGAGAGGGCGAUCGGCCACACGUGGGACUGAGACACGGCCCAGACUCCUAGGGAGCA